GGCCUUGGUUGAACUUGAGAAGGCUGGAAUUCUAAAGUUUGUUAUUAGUCAGAAUGUUGAUGGCCUCCAUCUUCGGUCUGGAAUACCAAGGGAGAAACUUGCUGAAUUGCAUGGGAACUCCUUCAUGGAAGCUUGCCNNNNNNNNGGAUCUGAGUAUUUGCGGGAUUUUGAAGUGGAAACUAUUGGGUUGAAGGAGACAUCACGCCGCUGCACUAAUGUGAAAUGUGGAACAAAACUAAGGGAUACAGUUCUUGACUGGGAGGAUGCAUUGCCUCCAAAAGAGAUGCUUCCAGCUGAGAAGCACUGCAGGAUGGCUGAUCUUCUAUUGUGUUUAGGCACAAGUUUGCAGAUCACUCCUGCAUGCAACCUGCCCCUGAAAUGU
rnacentral:misc_RNA from 1 species